GGUUUUGUCGAUUUUUCCACCGAGACCCGAUGCGAGAUCCAAUGCUCCAGCUUUCGACAUCUCCUCCUCUUGACUUUCCCAAAAGCAAAGUUGCGGAGAUCUGAAAAGUAACACAAACCCAUUACUUGAAAAUUUACAAAUAUUGCAAGCGGGGAUGAACAAGUCAAAACAAAGCUGAUGCAACACGUUUCCAUUGAUGGCGCUGUUUCCGCACUGCUGUUGUUGCUUCAUUUAGUAACGGGAAAACAACCACAAGUAUGACUGCAGCUCAGCAGAUAUAAAUCCUAUCGGGAGCAGGACUAUCGGACAUUUCUGCGAGGGGCUGCCACACAACUUGGUUACGCGUCCUUGGAAGAAGUUGAGGGAGUUCCACCAGCUGCAGAACUGGUACCUAGAUGUUCCACUCAUAUUUAGCUAGCAACUUGUCUUAAUUCGUCCUAUCCAAACGAAAUAGGUGGAUCUUAUACUGCAUUUAACAUGCUCUAGAGAUAAUAUAAUUAUUAACUUGUAUCGAUA